GAUGAACGCUGGCGGCGUGCCUAAUACAUGCAAGUCGAGCGAACAGACGAGGAGCUUGCUCCUCUGACGUUAGCGGCGGACGGGUGAGUAACACGUGGAUAACCUACCUAUAAGACUGGGAUAACUUCGGGAAACCGGAGCUAAUACCGGAUAAUAUAUUGAACCGCAUGGUUCAAUAGUGAAAGACGGUUUUGCUGUCACUUAUAGAUGGAUCCGCGCCGCAUUAGCUAGUUGGUAAGGUAACGGCUUACCAAGGCGACGUGGCGUAGCCGACCUGAGAGGGUGAUCGGCCACACGGGAACUGGAACACGGUCCAGACUCCUACGGGAGGCAGCAGUAGGGAAUCUUCCGCAAUGGGCGAAAGCCUGACGGAGCAACGCCGCGUGAGUGAUGAAGGUCUUCGGAUCGUAAAACUCUGUUAUUAGGGAAGAACAAAUGUGUAAGUAACUAUGCACGUCUUGACGGUACCUAAUCAGAAAGCCACGGCUAACUACGUG
rnacentral:rRNA from 1 species